UACGGGGGGGGCAAGCGUUGUUCGGAAUUACUGGGCGUAAAGGGCUUGUAGGUGGCCAACUAAGUCAGACGUGAAAUCCCUCGGCUUAACCGGGGAACUGCGUCUGAUACUGGAUGGCUUGAGUGUGGGAGAGGGAUGCGGAAUUCCAGGUGUAGCGGUGAAAUGCGUAGAUAUCUGGAGGAACACCGGUGGCGAAGGCGGCAUCCUGGACCAUUACUGGCACUGAAAAGCGAAAGCCAGGGGAGCAAACGGG
rnacentral:rRNA from 1 species